AGCUCUCCGAGUGGUGUGGAUGUUUAUUGGGCCUAAAGCAUCCGUAGCUGGCUAGGUAAGUCCCUUGUUAAAUCCACCGAAUUAAUCGUUGGAUCGCGGGGGAUACUGCUUGGCUAGGGGACGAGAGAGGCAGACGGUAUUCUCGGGGUAGGGGUGAAAUCCUAUAAUCCCGGGAAGACCACCAGUGGCGAAGGCUGUCUGCUAGAACGCGCCCGACGGUGAGGGAUGAAAGCUGGGGGGAGCGAACC
rnacentral:rRNA from 1 species